UUUUAUACGAAAGAACAUAUCACAAACCCUUUUCUUUUUGUUUAUCUUUGCCCCAACAUUGAACCACAACCACGAAUUGCAAAUCCCUCCGCCGCCGAAUCGCAAAUAUGGAACCACAAAUCCCUCCGCUGGAUCCUUAAUCGAAGAACCUCAAACCCCUUCAUUGUUCUCCUUCGUUCAAUCCGUCAAUAUCUCUUCCGUUUUUCUUCAAUUACUCCACCGUUCUCCUUUAAUCCUCCGCCGUUCUCUGCGGUCCAAGUUAGGUAUCAUUCAAUUCUUCUCUCUGUGAAUCAAAGAAGCCCCUUUGUGAGUUGUUCUUAUGGUCUCAAUGGUGGUGAGCAAGCCUUGAGGAUUGAAGAUGGUUAUUCUGCUCAUGAAAACAUCGGUCGCCUUAAUGUGUUAGACUUACAAGUAUUUAUCGAUUCAUUCUAGAUUACAUAUGUAGAUUCGCCGACUUCCAAAACCAGUAAUUGCAUGGGUAUGCUGGUGGAGGUGGGCAUGUAUUACAUAUGGUUUGUGAUUCAACUGUUGCAGCAGGCUGAAGAAUAUGCAUACUAGAGUUAAGAACUUGGAUGGUUCUUUGUAAAAUCCUACUGAUUUUUUCAAGUAUGCCCUUUACUUUCCAAGCAUUGUUCGAGCAUGGAGGUAACCGAAUAAGAAGAGUCAAGCGAUGAUAGGCGUUCUGAGUCUAGCUAACACUAAUUAAGGAUUAUGAAGCAGCAUCACAUAUUUUGUGAACUUAUUUUGACGUAAUGUUAUGUUUAACCACUAGUAAUAUUUAUGUUUUAGUUUUUGAAUCUUUGAACUACAUUAGUUUCUUUCGUUUGAAACUUCAAGUACUUUAAUUAAAUUUUUGAUGUAUGGAUCUUGUCACUAUUGAAUGAAUUAAAUAAAUGAGAUUCAGUUAUUUA